rnacentral:RNase_P_RNA from 1 species
ACGACUGGCCGCUCUGUCGCUCUACAAGGUGUAGAGAGGAAAGUCCGGACAACGCAGAGCGCCGCACCACCUAACGGGUGGGGCUUCCCGGGUGGGGGGAAGUACAGAGAGUGUCGCAGAAAAUAACCGCCUAAGCAGGUUCUCCUGCCGGUAAGGGUGAAAAUGUGCGGUAAGAGCGCACAGCGCCAGCCAGCAAUGGAUGGGGCGGAUAAACCUUGUGGGUUGCAAUGUCACGUAUAUCCUGAUGGGUAUGUCCCUGUGGGUUGCUCGCCUGCAUCGACUCCGGUCGGCUCAGGAGGGGUAGACAGCUUAGAUAAAUGACAGAGACGGACCAUUGUCCGUACAAAAUCCGGCUUACAGGCCAGUUGAACCU